UGGUAAAAAAAGGAAUUAAACCUUCCUGAAUAGGACUACAGCCUACCACCUAAACGCUCGGCCAUUUUACC
rnacentral:tRNA from 1 species